CCCGCGCUCCUCCGGGCAGAGCGCGUGUGGCGGCCGAGCACAUGGGCCCGCGGGCCGGGCGGGCUCGGGGCGGCCGGGACGAGGAGGGGCGACGACGAGCUGCGAGCAAAGAUGUGCCCCGGGACCCCCGGCACCUUCCAGUGGAUUUCCUUGCGGAAAGGAUGUUGGCGGUCCCUGUGACCUGUGGAGACACGGCCAGAUCUGCCCUCCAGCCUGAUCUUUUGGCCAGAAGGAGAUUAAAAAGAUGCCCCUCAAGAUGGCUGUGCCUGUCAGCUGCAUGGAGCUUCGUUCAAGUAUUUUCUGAGCCUGAUGGAUUUACAGUGAUCUUCAGUGGUCUGGGGAAUAACGCUGGUGGAACCAUGCACUGGAAUGACACACGCCCGGCACAUUUCAGGAUACUAAAAGUGGUUUUAAGGGAGGCUGUGGCUGAAUGCCUCAUGGAUUCUUACAGCUUGGAUGUCCAUGGGGGACGAAGGACUGCAGCUGGCUGAGAGGGUUGAGAUCUCUGUUUACUUAGAUCUCUGCCAACUUCCUUUGGGUCUCCCUAUGGAAUGUAAGACCCCGACUCUUCCUGGUGAAGCAUCUGAUGCACGUUCCAUCCGGCGCUCAGCUGGGCUUGAGCUGACCAUACUCCCUGGAGCCUUCUCCCGAGGUGCGCGGGUGACCUUGGCACAUACAGCCAUCAUGAUGGUACUUUAAGUGGAGGCUGAAUCAUCUCCCCUUUGAGCUGCUUGGCACGUGGCUCCCUUGGUGUUCCCCUUUUACUGCCAGGACACUGAGAUUUGGAGAGAGUCUCACUCUGUGGUCCAGGCUGAAGUACAGUGGCAUGAUCCCAGGUCACUGCAACCCCCACCUCCCGGGUUCAAGUGAUCCUCCUGCCUCAGCCUCCCGAGUAGCUGGUAUUACAGGCGUGUGCCACAAAGCCUGGCUAAGUUUUGUAUUUUUAGUAGAGACGGGGUUUCACCAUGUUGGCCAGGUUGGUCUCGAACUCCUGACCUCAAGUGAUCCACUCACUUUGGCCUUUCAACGUGCUGGGAUUACAGGCGAGAGUCACCGCACCCGGACGACUCUGACAUUUUUGAAGAGUCCAGAAUCCUGUUACACCUGGGAUUUAGGCACUUUCAAUCUGAAAAAAUACAUAUCCUUUCAGCACUCUGGACGGACUUGAGAACUGUCCUUACGUGACCUAAAGCUGGAGUAUUUUGAGAUUGGAGAAUUAAGGCCAACAGAGAUUUUGAGAAACACAUUGAAGGAUCUGUUAACACUUGAUAUACCCAAUAAAAGCAGUGGUUGUGCCAGUGCUGAUCUGUCUUGAUGUGAAUGUGAACAAUGGGAACCUGAGCUGAGCAGUUAAUGCUAGGGUGACAGAAACUGGACCUCUCCCAAGACAUGUGACAGAGUAAUACAGCAGCCAACUUCUUCGCCAAAUUAAAGUUUUACAAGAUUUAACCUGUCAUCAAGACCUGGGAUUUUGGUGAGCCAGUCUUGGUGCUCUGUGUUCACCUGGUUCAUCUGAGGAGCUGCAUCUACCCUGCCCAUGCCAUAGAUCCUGCCCUGUUUGCUUCUCCUGUUGCUGCUAGUGGACAUGAGGACAGAAUAACGGGCUCCCAGAUUCACAAGCCCCACCAAGAGGAUCACCCCAGGAACGCUUGGAGGCUGAGGAGUUCACUGAGGCUACUGCAUCUUGAGACUCAGGAUGAAGACCCAGCUUGGGGCUGUCAAAGGUUUUUUGCAUGUCUGACACCCAUGACUCCACCUGGACCUUAUGGCUCCACCCAGAAGCAAUUCAGCCCAACAGGAGGACAGCUUCAACCCAUUACGAUUUCAUCUCUGCCCCAACCACUCAGCAGCAAGCACCUGUUACCUGUCCACCCCCACCCCUUCCCCCAAACUGCCUUUGAAAAAUCCCUAACCUAUGAGCUUUGAAUAAGAUGAGUACGAACUUCAUCGCCCACGUGGCGUGGCCGGCCUCGUGUCUAUUAAAUUCUUUUUCUACUACAA
rnacentral:lncRNA from 1 species